rnacentral:rRNA from 1 species
UCAAGCUAAUAAGGGCUUGUGGUGGAUACCUAGGCACACAGAGGCGAAGAAGGACGUGGUGACCGACGAAACGCUCCGGGGAGUUGGAAGCAAGCGGGGAUCCGGAGAUAUCCGAAUAGGGCAACCUGUAUGUACUGCCUGCUGAAUAUAUAGGCAGGAAAGAGCGAACCCAGCGAACUGAAACAUCUAAGUAGCUGGAGGAAAAGAAAUCAAACGAGAUUCCCCAAGUAGUGGUGAGCGAACGGGGAAGAGCCUAAACCAAAGUACAUGUAUUUUGGGGUAGUGGGACAGCAUGAUGGAAUCUAGAGGUUAGACGAAGCAGCUAAAUACUGCACCAAAGAAGGUGAAAGUCCUGUAGUCGAAAGCUGACUGGAUACAAGCUGAAUCCCGAGUAGCAUGGAGCACGUGAAAUUCCAUGUGAAUCAGCCACGACCACGUGGUAAGGCUAAAUACUACUGUGUGACCGAUAGCGAAACAGUACCGCGAGGGAAAGGUGAAAAGAACCCCGCAAGGGGAGUGAAAUAGAACAUGAAACCGCAAGCCUACAAGCAGUGGAAGGACGAUAGUUCGUCUGACCGCGUGCCUGUUGAAGAAUGAGCCGGCGAGUUAUAAGUACUGGUAGGUUAAGGCGAGGAUGCCGAAGCCAAAGCGAAAGCGAGUCUGAAGAGGGCGCAAAUCAGUAUUUAUAGACCCGAACCCUGGUGAUCUAACCAUGACCAGGAUGAAGCUUGGGUAACACCAAGUGGAGGUCCGCACCGACCGAUGUUGAAAAAUCGGCGGAUGAGUUGUGGUUAGGGGUGAAAUGCCAAUCGAACCAGGAGCUAGCUGGUUCUCCCCGAAAUGUGUUGAGGCGCAGCGGUUGUGGUUGAAGUCGGGGGGUAAAGCACUGUUUCGGUGCGGGCUGCGAGAGCGGUACCAAAUCGAGACAAACUCAGAAUACCCGAUGUACACACAACCAGUGAGACGGUGGGGGAUAAGCUUCAUCGUCAAGAGGGAAACAGCCCAGACCACCAGCUAAGGUCCCCAAAUCAUCGCUAAGUGGCAAAGGAGGUAGAAGUGCACAGACAACCAGGAGGUUUGCCUAGAAGCAGCCACCCUAUAAUGAGUGCGUAAUAGCUCACUGGUCAAGCGCUUCCGCGCCGAAAAUGAAUGGGACUAAGCGAUGUACCGAAGCUGUGGGAUUAAUAGUAUUAAUCGGUAGGGGAGCGUUCUGUAGUAGGGUGAAGCACUAGCGGCAAGCAGGUGUGGACGAAACAGAAGUGAGAAUGUCGGCUUGAGUAGCGCAAAUAUUGGUGAGAAUCCAAUACCCCGAAACCCCAAGGGUUCCAGAGCCAGGUUCGUCCACUCUGGGUUAGUCGGGACCUAAGGCGAGGGCGAAAGCCGUAGUCGAUGGACAACGGGUUAAAAUUCCCGUACUCAAAAAUAGUAGUGCAGAGGGACGGAGAAGGCGAUUGUCAGCCGGAUGUUGGUUACCGGUUCAAGUAUGCGAGGCGAUGAGGAACGGCGAAAACGUUCCGAGCGAAGCUGCGAGUACGACUCUCUACGGAGAGGAAGUGGCAUAGUCUAGCUUCCAAGAAAAGCUCUAAGUACGUUAACUAUUUUUGACCCGUACUCGAAACCGACACAGGUGGGGAGGUUGAGAAUACCAAGGGGCGCGAGAUAACUCUCUCUAAGGAACUCGGCAAAAUGGCCCCGUAACUUCGGAAGAAGGGGUGCCCAAGGAUGACUUGGGUCGCAGUGAAGAGGUCCAGGCGACUGUUUACCAAAAACACAGGUCUCCGCAAAGUCAAUAGACGCAGUAUGGGGGCUGACGCCUGCCCAGUGCCGGAAGGUUAAGGAAGUUGGUCAGGGGGUAACCCUAAAGCUGACGACCGAAGCCCCGGUGAACGGCGGCCGUAACUAUAACGGUCCUAAGGUAGCGAAAUUCCUUGUCGGGUAAGUUCCGACCCGCACGAAAGGCGUAACGAUCUGGACGGUGUCUCGGAGAGAGACUCGGCGAAAUAGGAUUGUCUGUGAAGAUACGGACUACCUGCACCUGGACAGAAAGACCCUAUGAAGCUUUACUGUAGCCUGGAAUGGUGUC